rnacentral:rRNA from 1 species
AGUGAACGCUGGCGGCAGGCCUAACACAUGCAAGUCGAGCGGCAGCGCGUCCGACCACCCUCGGGUGGUCGGAUGGCGGCGAGCGGCGGACGGGUGAGGAAUACAUGGGAAUCUACCUGGUAGUGGGGGAUAACUUCGGGAAACUGGAGGUAAUACCGCAUACGUCCUACGGGAGAAAGGGGGGAGUCUUCGGACCUCUCGCUAUCAGAGGAGCCCAUGUCCGAUUAGCUAGUUGGUGAGGUAAAGGCUCACCAAGGCGACGAUCGGUAACUGGUCUGAGAGGAUGAUCAGUCACACUGGAACUGAGACACGGUCCAGACUCCUACGGGAGGCAGCAGUGGGGAAUAUUGGACAAUGGGGGCGAACCCUGAUCCAGCCAUGCCGCGUGUGUGAAGAAGGCCUCGGUU